rnacentral:lncRNA from 1 species
GAGGUUGUUGACCCACUUUACCCUGGUGGUAGCUUUGACCCAUUGGGCCUUGCUGACGACCCAGAGGCUUUUGCUGAGCUCAAGGUUAAGGAAAUCAAGAACGGAAGACUUGCUAUGUUCUCCAUGUUUGGAUUCUUUGUCCAAGCUAUUGUCACCGGAAAGGGUCCAUUGGAGAACCUUGCUGACCACCUUGCCGACCCAGUUAACAACAACGCCUGGGCCUUUGCCACAAACUUCGUUCCCGGAAAAUAAGUGUAACAAAAAUAGAUCUCUAAUCUUCAAGUAGUGUGAGAUGAGUUUUUAGGUCUUGAGUGAUGAAUCUAUAGAAGGGGUCAAAUUUUUAAGCAUUCUGGGUUAUGGGUUCAGUAAAGAGAUUGUAAUGCACUAAAUGUGGUGUAAAUUGGUUUGGAUUAAUGAAAAACAUGUGAAUCUUUUCAUAUUUAUCUUUUUGUAGCACAUAAACUUAAAUUACAAAUUCCAUAUUAUUCUAAAGAAGUUUACUUGUAAAUAUCGUUAGAUGACCUUAUAGUAUAAAUUUUUUGUUUAUAACAACAAUAUAUACAACUUAGUUUCUUAAAAUGAUUUGAUUAUUAAUAAUAUACAAGUGCACUAUAGAAUAGAGGUUUUUAAAAUGCAUAAAAUGAUAAAGUUUCUAACUGUUCAGUGUUGGAUAUUCUAAGCAAUAAAAAUGAAACAAAUAUUAAGAAGUAUGUUUUAAGGAAUGUUACAGUUACCCAACACUUUGGCCAACCAGUUUACAAAAAAAUGUACAAAGUGAAUAGGUGGUUGUUUAUAUUUUAUACUAAAUAUACAUAUAUUACACUUAUAAUGUACAUAUACACUAUUGUUAUAUACAUGGUGUAUAUUUCAUUCAUGUUGGUAAAUUAGCAGAAUGGUACAUAUCCAUAACUUUUCGUACAAUAUUCUUGAUAAAUGAUGUUCAUGACUACUUCUAAUAUGUAAUUUGUUCUUGUACAAACAACAACAUACCCAGUGUAAUCCCACUAUUCUAUCCACUUAAUUAACCUUAGUAUAUGGCUUUAAAGUAUACUAAAGUUUCCUCUUAAUUUAACUCCAUGAAAAAAAAACAAUUACAUGCGUUUAAUUUUCUUAUUAUUCUCCAUUUUUCUAAUUGACUAUUAGAGUAUUGAUCGUCCUAUGAACGACAGACAUGUCAAAACUUUGAAAUAAAUUAUCACAAGUUCUAUGAAUAAACAAAAUAACCUUCAAGGUCAUAACUUUCACAAGCGGGUCAUCACUUUUUUCACAAGAGUUAUGCCCGGCGUAAGAAUGAAAAUUUAAGCUUUCACAAGAUAUGUCAUACUAGUAGUAACUUUAAUACAAAUUAUUGACAAAUUCAUAAGCAAAACUUGUCUUAUCACAAGUUAUGAUGGACACAAGCAUAACUUUAGUAAAAUUGUUCAUAAGUUCUGUCGAAUUAAUGACAAUUUAUACAUAUCGUUUAAUUGUUAAAGAAAUUUAGCAAAAUUUCUUACCAUCUUUGUUUAACUUACCUCUAGUAUCUCACACAAAAAUCAAAGCUUAAUUAGCUGUUGGGACACUUGAACUUGCAUUACCUUAAUUUCAAUUUUUUUUCUUAUUUUGUCUCAUUGUCAAUUUGCCACAUAUAAAAGUGGUCCUAUUUCAUAUGACAGCCAAAUAAAUUUAAGUGUUUGAACAAAGUGGAUAUUUUAUUGCAAUAAUCAACACUCACACGUGGCAACUAUUGAUUGGAUGUAAUAGAGAAAAUCUUCAUUGGGUUAGAUUUUUUAAAUAUGUAAAGUAUCUAAAAAAAUCUAGUCAUGUUUAAUGAACUUUGCCAAAUGGACAAGUAUGCAAAAUGUUACAAAUUGUCACCCACCAAUGAGAGAGAGAUAUAGAUAUUCAAGGAUAAGGGUAUUGGGCCUGUGGAGUCAUUUAUAUACACUUGGUGCAAGGCCCAAGAAACUCAAGCCUCAAAUCAACUCUUCUUUUUGUACAUUCUAAGAGUUUCCAUUCUACUUUUAUAAUGGCUGCUUCUACAAUGGCUCUUUCUUCCUCUACCUUUGCCGGAAAGACGGUGAAACUCUCACCAUCUUCUUCUGAAAUCACCGGAAAUGGGAGAGUCACCAUGAGGAAGAGUGCUGCCAAGGCCAAGCCUGCCUCCUUUGGUAGCCCAUGGUAUGGUCCUGACCGUGUUAAGUACUUGGGCCCAUUUUCUGGGGAAGCCCCAAGCUACUUGACUGGUGAGUUUCCCGGUGACUACGGAUGGGACACUGCUGGACUUUCAGCUGACCCUGAAACAUUCUCUAAGAAUCGUGAAUUGGAGGUGAUCCACUGCAGAUGGGCCAUGCUUGGUGCUCUUGGAUGUGUUUUCCCUGAGCUUUUGGCCCGUAAUGGUGUCAAGUUCGGUGAAGCUGUAUGGUUCAAAGCUGGAUCUCAAAUUUUUAGCGAAGGUGGACUUGACUACUUGGGCAACCCAAGCUUGGUCCAUGCACAAAGCAUCUUGGCUAUCUGGGCUUGCCAAGUUGUGUUGAUGGGAGCCGUUGAGGGUUACCGUAUUGCUGGUGGGCCUCUUGGUGAGGUUGUUGACCCACUUUACCCUGGUGGUAGCUUCGACCCAUUGGGCCUUGCUGAUGACCCAGAGGCUUUUGCUGAGCUCAAGGUAAAGGAAAUCAAGAACGGUAGACUUGCUAUGUUCUCCAUGUUUGGAUUCUUUGUUCAAGCUAUCGUCACUGGAAAGGGUCCAUUGGAGAACCUUGCCGACCACCUUGCUGACCCAGUUAACAACAACGCUUGGGCCUUUGCCACAAACUUUGUUCCCAGAAAGUGAAGUUCUUGAGAGAGAAAAUGUUACUUCUAGUAUCUUAUUGUUUGAUGACCUUUUAAACCUAGCAAUUGUAAAUUACUAGAGAUUAUUUAUGACGUUUUUUGCCAUCAGGCUAAACUACAAAGUUUUAUCUUGUGUCCAUCUUCACUGUUAAAUUAUGUAACAUUGGUUAUAACUAGGCCAUGAUUUAAAAAAUAAAAAAACAGAAGAUUAUCCUAACCAUAUGGUUAAGACCUAGUGUUUGUUGAUUAAAUCUUAAUCGUUAAUAGUAAGAAGUUGAAAAAAUGGAGACAAGAGAAAAUGAAAGAUUAAUUUCUUUAUGUUAUUAAUAAUGACUAAACAGUUCAAUAAUAUAUGCAUUUUUACACAGUGAUAAAUUUCACAAUCAUAUACUGUUAUAGUAAUUUAUUAUUGAAUCUACAUUCCUUGCUUGAACCUUCAAAACCAAACUCAAUUCAAUAAAAUUUCUCCGUCUGUUAGGUGAUAUAUAUAUAUAGUGGAUGAUUUACCUAGUAAUCGGCAUUCUUGAAGCAACUUCUUUAUUCUAUUCAUUAUCGAUUUUGGGUCUUAUUAAUCUAAUAGAAUAGUCGAUAAGCACAUCACUGCCAGCUAUCACCUACACAAUACACACCCAGAGUAGGAACUAAACAAUGAACUAUUCUCUUUGGCUAUAAACAAUCAAAAUCAAAACAAGCAUACAAUGUGAUUUGAACCGGCCACACCCUCACUUCACGUCUUCUAACAAUGAUUAGAAUGACAAUGACUCUAUCUUUCUCUUCUGAUUCCUAUCGAGUUGCCCAGAGGUUCUUGUGUUUUAAGGUAGUUUGAAAUUUAUGUUUGAAUGACUUUAUAUUUAAAUUUUGUGCUUUGUUUUAUUAGGAAUUUGCGAAAAGAAAAAACGUCAUGUCAUGGCUUUCAUAAGUUUACAUAACUUCUUCACAAGUUAUACUUAAUUCACAAGUUCUGCUUGUUCACUAAGUAAUUAUGACAAUCGUUCUAUGUAGCUUUAAUACAAAUUAUUUACGAAUUUUAUCAGAUUGACAAAAACUUGCAUAUGUUAUUCAAUUGUGUACAAAUUUUAUCGAACUGAUAAUAUCUUAUACUAUUUUCAUUCUACCUAUCUUCCGUAACCCUAAAACAAUUUCUAUUUUAUUUCAAAUGUAUAUAAAAAAGUUAUUGUAUAUUGUCUCAUUGUCUAUUUGAAACUCACACAAGUGGUCCUAUUUCUAUUUCAUUUCAAAUAAAAAGAUGUUUGUGAAUAAUGCAUGGCCAUGAGCUACUCUUAUGGUAUGGUCAAGUGGAUAUUAUAUUGCAAUAAUCUAUAAUCACACGUGGCAACCAUGGAUUGGCUGCAUGAGAGGAAAUCAACAAUGAGUUAGAUUUUUUAAACUUAUAAAGUAUCUUUAAAAAAAAUCUAGUACAAAAUUGUCAUUCACCAAUGAAAAAGCAGAUAAUGAUAUUCAAAGAUAAGGAUUUUGGGGCUGUUAGUCAUUUAUAUACACUUGGUGCAAAGCCCAUGAAACUCAAGCCUCAAAUCAACUCUUCUUUUUUGUACAUUCAAGAGUUUUCAUUCUACUUCUAUAAUGGCUACUUCUACAAUGGCUCUUUCUUCCUCUACAUUUGCCGGAAAGGCGGUAAAACUCUCCCCAUCUUCUUCUGAAGUCACUGGAAAUGGGAGAGUCACCAUGAGGAAGAGUGUUGCCAAGGCCAAGCCAGCCUCUUCUGGUAGCCCAUGGUAUGGUCCUGACCGUGUUAAGUACUUGGGCCCAUUCUCUGGAGAAGCCCCAAGCUACCUGAAUUGGAGGUGAUCCACUGUAGAUGGGCCAUGCUUGGUGCUCUCGGAUGUGUCUUCCCUGAACUCUUGGCCCGUAACGGUGUCAAGUUUAGCGAAGCUGUAUGGUUCAAGGCUGGAUCUCAAAUUUUCAGCGAGGGUGGACUUGACUACUUGGGCAACCCAAGCUUGGUCCAUGCACAAAGCAUCUUGGCUAUUUGGGCUUGCCAAGUUGUGUUGAUGGGAGCUGUUGAGGGUUACCGUAUUGCUGGUGGGCCUCUUGGUGAGGUUGUUGACCCACUUUACCCUGGUGGUAGCUUUGACCCAUUGGGCCUUGCUGAUGACCCAGAGGCUUUUGCUGAGCUCAAGGUAAAGGAGAUCAAGAAUGGUAGACUUGCAAUGUUCUCCAUGUUUGGAUUCUUUGUUCAAGCUAUCGUCACUGGAAAGGGUCCAUUGGAGAAUCUUGUCGACCACCUUGCUGACCCAGUUAACAACAACGCUUGGGCUUUUGCCACAAACUUCGUUCCCGGAAAGUGAAGUUCUUCAGAGAAAAUGUUACUUCUAGUAUCUUAUUGUUUGAUGACCUUGUAAACCUAGCAAUUGUAAAUUACUAGAGAUUAUAUAUGAAGCUUUUUGCCAUCAGGCUAACUGCAAGGUUGCAUGUACUUAGAAAGUUUUAUCUUGUCUCCAUCUUCAGUGUUAAAUUAUGUAACAUUGGUUAUAACUAGGCCAUGAUUUAAAAAAUAAAAAAGAGAAGAUUAUCCUAACCAUAUGGUUAAGACCUAAUGUUUGUUGAUUAAAUCUAAGUCAUUAAUAGUAAGAAGUUGAAAAAAUGGAGACAAGAGAAAAUGAAUGUUUAAUUUCUUUAUGUUAUUAAUAAUGACUAAACAGUUAAAUAAUAUAUGCAUUUUUACAUCGUAGUGAUAAAUUUCACAAUCAUAUACUGUUAUAGUAAUUUAUUAUUGAAUCUACAUCCCUUGCUUGAACCUUCUGCACCGAACUCAAUUAAAUAAAAUUUCUCCGUCCGAUAGGUGCUAUAUAUAUAUUGGAUGAUUAGUAAUGGACAUUCUAGAAGCAACUUAUUUAUUCUAUUAGCUAUUGAUUUUGGUUCUUAUUAAUCUAAUAUAAUAAUUGAUAAGAAAAUAACUGCCGCUGUCAGCUACACAGUACACACCCAGAGUAGGACCUAAGCAAUGAACUAUUCUCUUUGGCAAUAAUCAAUCAAAGUCAAAACAAGCAUACAAUGUGAUUUGAACCACACCCUCACUUCACGUCUUCUGACAACAAUUAAGUACGACAAUGACUUUAUCUUUCUUUUCUGAUUCCUAUCGAGUUGCCCAUAGGUUCUUGUGUUUUAAGGUUAUUUGAGAUUUUUGUCAAACGAACAUACAAUGUGUUUUAAGGUAGUUUACAUAACUUCUUCACAAGUUAUGCCGCACAAAAGAAUGAGAAAUUAAUCUUCCACAAGUUAUGCUUGACAUGUCCUAAUUUGGCAUUAAUGAUUAAUUCACAAGUAAUUAUGACGAUCGUACAUAACUUUAAUACAAGUUAUUUACAAGUUCUGUCAAAUUGACAAAACUUGCAUAUGUUAUUCAAUUGUUCACAAAUUUUAUCGAAUUGAUAACAUUUUAUACUAUUUUCAUUCUACCUAUCUUCCGUAAUCCUAAAACAAUUUCUAUUUCAUUUCAAAUGUAUAUAAAAAAGUUAUUGUACAUUGUCUCAUUGUCUAUUUGCAAAUCACACAAGUGGUCCUAUUUCUAUUUCAUUUCAAAUAAACAGAUGUUUUUGAACAAUGCAUGGCCAUGAGCUAUACUCUUAUGGUAUGGUCAAGUGGAUAUUAUAUUGCAAUAAUCUAUAAUCACACGUGGCAACCAUGGAUUGGCUGCAUGAGAGGAAAUCAACAUUGAGUUAGAUUUUUUAAAAUUAUAAAGUAUCUUUAAAAAAAUCUAGUACAAAAUUGUCAUUCACCAAUGAAAAAACAGAUAAUGAUAUUCAAAGAUAAGGAUUUUGGGGCAUGUUGAGUCAUUUAUAUACACUUGGUGCAAAGCCCAUGAAACUCAAGCCUCAAAACAACUUUUCUUUUUGUACAUUCAAGAGUUUUCAUUCUACUUCUAUAAUGGCUACUUCUACAAUGGCUCUUUCUUCCUCUACAUUUGCCGGAAAGGCGGUGAAACUCUCACCAUCUUCUUCUGAAGUCACCGGAAAUGGGAGAGUCACCAUGAGGAAGACCGCUACAAAGGCCAAGCCAGCCUCCUCUGGUAGCCCAUGGUAUGGUCCUGAUCGUGUUAAGUACUUGGGCCCAUUCUCUGGUGAGUCUCCAAGUUACUUGACUGGUGAAUUCCCUGGUGACUAUGGAUGGGAUACUGCUGGACUUUCAGCUGAUCCUGAAACUUUUUCUAAGAACCGUGAGUUGGAGGUGAUUCAUGGUAGAUGGGCCAUGCUCGGAGCUCUUGGUUGUGUCUUCCCCGAGCUCUUGGCUCGUAACGGUGUUAAGUUUGGUGAGGCUGUAUGGUUCAAGGCCGGAUCUCAAAUUUUCAGUGAGGGUGGACUUGACUACUUGGGCAACCCAAGUUUGGUCCAUGCACAAAGCAUCUUGGCCAUUUGGGCUUGCCAAGUUGUGCUAAUGGGAGCCGUUGAAGGUUACCGUAUAGCUGGUGGGCCUCUCGGUGAGGUUGUUGAUCCACUUUACCCUGGUGGUAGCUUCGACCCAUUAGGCCUUGCUGACGACCCAGAAGCUUUUGCUGAGCUCAAGGUAAAGGAAAUUAAGAACGGCAGACUUGCUAUGUUCUCCAUGUUUGGAUUCUUUGUUCAAGCUAUCGUUACCGGAAAGGGUCCAUUGGAGAACCUUGCCGAUCACCUUGCGGACCCAGUAAACAACAACGCUUGGGCCUUUGCCACAAACUUUGUCCCCGGAAAGUGAACUUCUUGAAAUAGUGCCUCUUCUAGUAUUUGUUUGUUUGAUAGGCCAAUGUAGCUACUGUAAAUUAUAGGAGAUUAUAUAUGAAUUUUUAUUUGGUCUCCAAUAAUUAUGUAGUUCUAUAUAUCUUUAUACCUACAAUUCACAAUAGCAGUAUGUAUUUGCAUAUCAUGUGAAAAGUAAAAGUGAAUAGAAAAUUCCUUACUAUAGGACUUUUUAAAUUACAUAAAAUUGGGAAAGUUGGUAAUUACUAGAAAACUAUUCCAUCAAGUUAGAAACUCAAGGUAUAUUAGGAACAAAGAUUUAGAAAGGGAUUAUCAAAAAGUGAAAAAAAGUAAAUUAAAAUGUAUCUGACGUGGCAAAAACCUAUGAUAAAUGUAAAGUAUCUUUCACCAGAUUUCUUUCUACUUAAAAAAAGCAAAUCGAAAUCAACAGACUAUAUAUCACUGAUUUAUCCUUCAUCGUUUUUUGUGAAAUCGACAAAUAGAGUCUGUUUAAGGGAUAAUCGAUCCUGUCCGUCGAUCGGUUUUAAAAGUCCGACAAACAGUGUUGAGUUUUUAGAAAUAUACAUAAAACUGUAGCUACCUGGAAUCGAAUCUAGCUAUAUUUUUUAUCGUUCGAUCACACACGCUCUACAAUGAAAUAUUUUCUUUAUUUUUAUUUAUAUUCUUCAAUUAUAAUUUUACACUUCAACGUCGAUCCUGUUCAACGGUAGAAAAUAUUACAGAACCAUUUGAUGAAAUCUGAAAGAAAAUGGAUAAAUGACCGAUACUACUAUAUGAUUAGUCUUUAGAUAACAAGUAUUGUUCGUAUUCUUAUAAUCGAUUUAAUAAGUAUCUUCUUUUAUGGUUCAUAUUAUGUAAAUAUUUUUCUUGGAAAGAUUGGUAAAUGUAUUUUUCUAAAUUUAAUUUUGUUAUUAUUUUGUUUUCCUAAUUGACAUUCAGAGUAUAAAUUAGUCAUUGAAAUAAUUGCUAGAAAAUAAUUUCAAUUUUUUCAUUUGUCUUAUUAUUAUGAAGAGGUUACACCACUCAUACAAUAUGUGAACUAUUGCAUGGCCAUAAUUUUUUAGAUGUGGAUUUUGCAAGAUUCCACUAUAUAUCACACGUGGUGACUCAGGAUUGGCUGUAAGAGAGAAAAAUCAACAUUUUGUUGGAUUUUUUUGGACAUAAUAAUGUAUCUAAAAAAUAUCUAGUCAUGUUAAACAAAUUGUCAUCCACCAAUGAGGAAAUAGAUAAUGAUAUUUUAGGAUAAGAACUUUAGUUCUUAGAGUCAUUUAAAUAUACUUGUUACAAAUCAAAUAUUCAUUCAGUGUAGUAGCAACAUUCAAGAGUAUUUCAUUUUAUUUCUAUAAUGGCAACUUCUACAAUGGCUCUUUCUUCCUCUUCUUUUGCCGGAAAGGCGGUGAAACUCUCACCAUCUUCUUCUGAAAUCACUGGAAAUGGGAGAGUCACCAUGAGGAAAACCGCUGCCAAGGCCAAGCCAGCCUCCUCUGGUAGCCCAUGGUAUGGUCCUGACCGUGUUAAGUACUUGGGCCCAUUCUCUGGUGAGUCUCCAAGUUACUUGACUGGUGAAUUUCCUGGUGACUAUGGAUGGGAUACUGCUGGACUUUCAGCUGAUCCUGAAACUUUUUCUAAGAACCGUGAGUUGGAGGUGAUUCAUUGCAGAUGGGCCAUGCUUGGAGCUCUUGGUUGUGUUUUCCCUGAGCUCUUAGCUCGUAACGGUGUCAAGUUCGGUGAAGCUGUAUGGUUCAAGGCUGGAUCCCAGAUUUUCAGCGAGGGUGGACUUGACUACUUGGGCAACCCUAGUUUGGUCCAUGCACAAAGCAUCUUGGCAAUUUGGGCUUGCCAAGUUGUGCUAAUGGGAGCCGUUGAAGGUUACCGUAUUGCUGGUGGGCCUCUCGGUGAGGUUGUUGACCCACUUUACCCUGGUGGUAGCUUCGACCCAUUGGGCCUUGCAGAUGACCCAGAGGCUUUUGCUGAGCUCAAGGUAAAGGAAAUCAAGAACGGUAGACUUGCUAUGUUCUCCAUGUUUGGAUUCUUUGUUCAGGCUAUCGUCACAGGAAAGGGUCCAUUGGAGAACCUUGCCGAUCACCUUGCUGACCCCGUUAACAACAAUGCCUGGGCCUUUGCCACAAACUUUGUCCCCGGAAAGUGAACUUCUUGAAAUAGAGCCUCUUCUAGUAUUUGUUUGUUUGAUAGGCCAUUGUAUAGCUAGCUACUGCAAAUUACAGGAGAUUAUAUAUGAAAUUUUUAUUUGGUCUCCAAUA